AGUGAAUGCUAUCAUCCAAACAAGGUAAGAAUAACUUCUAUUCAAAAUUUUAAAAAAAAAAAUUGUUUCUCAAUCCCAAAAGAAAGAAGCAAAAUGGGUGGCAAUUUAUCCAACAUGGAGUAUGUUCAUACAUCAUCAGCAAAGUCAUCAUCUAACAUUCUUACCUUUAAUUCCACUGCUAAAUGGAAGGUUCACCUUAAAGCUUCUGAACAAACUAACAAGCUGAUGGUGGUUGAAUUUACGGCUACUUGGUGUGCACCUUGCAAAUACAUGGAUCCAAUCAUCCAAGAGUUUGCUACAAAGUACAAAAAUAUUGUUGAUUUCAUCAAGAUUGAUGUGGAUGUAUUAAUGGAUGUGACUCAAGAAUAUCAGGUGCAAGCAAUGCCAACAUUCAUAUUGAUGAAGAAAGGAGAAGUUGUUGACAAGGUGGUAGGAGCAAAAAAAGACGAGCUUACAAUGCUGAUUGAGAAGCAUAAAAACUGAGUCUUUUAAUCUUUGCACGUGGUUAAGGCUGUGUGUUGAUCACAAAGGAACAAGAAUAAGCUCUUUUAGGUAUGGUUUUGGAGAAAAGAUGGCAAGUAAAUUUGGUGGCAGAAGCAGAACCUCUCAAUUCUCAUCUCAUCUGUCAGAAUCUUUAGAUUUGUUUGUAUAUAUGCUGCAAAAGUCAAACACAAACAUUGCCUUCAAGGCUCAAGCUGUCGGUCGAUAUCCAAAUAUUGCUUUUAGUACCAUAGGGCAAAUGAGAAUCGCUCUUUUUGGUUAUUGAUUUUGGUAACAUUUUAAUUUUUUUUUACAAUAAUUUUGGUUAUAUUUAUUUAAGCGCGUCAUCCUCAUUAAUUGCUUCAA